CCGGCCCGUUAGGCUUUUUAAUCCGGCCCGCCGAACUUGUCCAAAUCGCGACUUUGUUUACUUCCGGUGUGCGUUGGCGCGGAAAGUACUCGUCACACAAAACCCUUCACCAUGAUUUGUCAAUCCGUUUGUCUGUCAACAUUUUGCGAAAAAACAACAACCAAUGAACACUCAGUAAAUCACAAAGGACCCGCCCACCACACAGGUGAAGCUCAUUUAGAAACAGCUGCAGUGAUUUUGGCGAGCAGCGCGGAGCCUGGAGGGGCUGCAGAGCCACGAGGAGGAACACGCAGCCAGAAGAGAGCCACUUGGACCGGAGAGGAUUCACCAGCGCCUGCAGCUCCACCUGCAGCUCCACCUGCAGCUCCACCUGCAGCUCCACCUGCAGCUCCACCUGCCCGGCCAGCAGAGAGCUCUCGUGCCCCUGAGGACCACCAGCAUGACACGAUGACAUGAUGUUAUUAUAGUGAAGCCAUAUUGUAAAUAGUCAAUAGUUGUGUUCUGUUUUCUAUUUCACAACAUGUAUAUAAUGUAGAGUUUUUUAUUUAUUUUAUGUACAAUACAUAUUUGUAAAAAUUAAAAAAAUGUAAUGGUCA